UCUAUCAUCGGACUGCCUGCAUGAUUUGAUAUGGAUCAGGUCAAUAUUCAAUUUUUCAUCUGAAAUAAUCUUUUUCUUUUUUUAGCUCUAAAAGUAGAAGACGAUCCCGUGCUUGGGAAAAUUAUUUCACUGAAAUAUGUCAAUGACUUUGUUAAUGACAAUUAUUGCAAGAAACGACUUUUUGAGAUUCACCAUUUGAUUAAAGACGGCAAGCAGAAAAAUCAUCGAGGAAGCAACAGAGAUUGCCUGACCUAGUGAUGAAAAGGCUGCUGAAGGUUUCUGGUCGAAGGGAAUUAAGUCUCACUAAUGAAUAAUGGAUUAGAGAAUUCCUUGGAGAACAAAAAACAACUUUCGAAUCAACUGAAAUUCGAAGCAUUCAUCUGAAGGAAAAUUUGGUUUAAAGUCAGAAUCGGAAAAUAAGAAAAAUCAAUUAAUGGGAUAUGAAGAAUUAAUAAAUGCAUUAAUCUAUUAUAAAUAUGUAAUUUAAAUUUUUUGUAAUGCUUCAGGUCAGAAUUUCCCAAACGAAUCACUUUAAAUUAAAAAUUUUAAUUUUCAA